rnacentral:lncRNA from 1 species
AUUUUUCAUUUUCUUUUCAAAAUUUCCAUGGAGGAAAGCCGAAACAAGUUUUCAUACUCGUAGACCUAACUAAAAAAGAAGUUUUCAAGAUUUUCCUGAAUUCUUCGUUUUAUUCAAAUAAUUGAUGCAUUCGGGCUCUUAAGAUAUGUGUAUUCUUUUCUAAGAUAAGUUUCGUUCAGAAUAAUUUACCAAGUAACUAUAAUGUGAAUUCACGGAAAAAUAAAUAGUUUUAAUAGACAUAAUUCUAUCAAAGUUCCAAAAAGAAUAUAAAAAUAAUUCACCUUAGGCAGUAAACAUGAAGGAACAAAGAAAUCUAAAAAGUAUUUUAACUUUCCAGCUAAUAAUGUCUUUCAAUUUCAAGCCACAGACUCACGCAAGACUUACAAAAAUAUCAAGUUCAAAACUUUC